ACAUAUUCCACAUGAUUGCUAAGUGGUUGCUAUGCAGUUGAUAACGUUUUCCAGGUGGUUGCUAAGGUGUAGCAAACUGGUUGCUAGGCAGUUGCUAACGUAUUCCAGGUGGUUGCUAAGUGGUUGCUAGGCAGUUGCUAUAAUUUCUAAAGUGGUUGCUAAGCAGUUGCUAAUGUUUUCCUAGUGGUUGUUAAGGUGUUGCUAAGUGGUUGCUAGGCAGUUGCUAUCGUUUUUAACGUGGUUGCUAAGUGGUUGCUAGGCAGUUGCUUUCAUUUCUAAAGUGGUUGCUAAGCUGUUGCUACAGCAAAGCCAAUGCCUUUGCUGUAUCCAAAAAGUUUUAGCUAAAUGGUAAAAUACCGUUGCUUUUGGCUGACAAAGCAGUGUCCAAACAGUUUUGGCUAAAUGGUGGAAUAUGGUUGCUUUUGGCUUACAGAGCAGUGCCCUAAAACCUUUGGAUAAAUAAGGGAAGUGUCAAGAUUUUGGAAGAUAAACUUAAAAAAAAAAAAAACACCAAAUGUUGUUUAAUUUUGUGUUACACACAAUUCAUAUAAGUAGUUAUAUUUUAUUAAUUGUAAAGCUGAAAUAACAACUCGGUAAAGAUGUUAAGGUGGUAAAUUCAAAUGUAUUAUGCUUUUAGUUCUAUGAUGUGAUGACUACAUAAUGUCACCUGUUGGUGGCAGUAAAGUAGUAAGCGUACAGACAAACCUUAAAAACAUAAUAAAGGAGAUAGUCCACUCAUUCCUUCUGAAGUGCACUUGAUUAGUUACUGAACUUUUAAUUUUACACCCACUGAAGCACUGAACUGUUUAACUGGAAGUCUUAAACCCUAUUACUUUGUUCCUCAUUGCCUUUCAUCUGAAAUAAAAAUAAAAUUGUGUGAAAGGUAUUUUACCUAUUUUAAGAAAACACAGGGCGUAGUGAGGAGGGACCACGUAGUGAAUUGAACUGACCCAAGGAUGUGCCCAGGCAGCGCGCGCGCAGACGAACGACAUUCCUUCGACUGAGGAACCAGAAAUCUGUGAUUUUACAACACUCGCUCAAAAAGGCUUUCACAUACAGUGCUGUUGACCUUGACUUAAUUGGGCAUUGUUUCUUGCCAGCAUCCCAGCUUUCCCCAUCCCCGAAACGAUAACUCAUUGAACUCAUUGAACUCAUUGAACUCAUAACUCAUUGAACUCAUAACUCAUCCAUAUAAUAACUCAUCCAUAUAAUAACUCAUCCAUAUAACUCAUCCAUAUAACUCAUCCAUAUAACUCAUCCAUAUAAUAACUCAUUCAUAUAAUAACUCAUCCAACCCAGAAGUCAUCCAACCCAGAAGUCAUCCAACCCAGAAGUCAUCCAACCCAGAAGUCAUCCAACCCAGAAGUCAUCCAACCCAGAAGUCAUCCAACCCAGAAGACAACAAAGACAAACAAUCUGCAGGUCCCUAAACAACGUGAAAAAGACCACAAAAGCCCAGUAAACGCCUGGCUCACCACCUAGAAAGCUCUGAAGAAACUGGACCUGCAGCACACACACAAUUAUACCACAAAUCACUUUAGCAUAGCUUAACAUUUUAUAGCUAUACAUUACAAAUACAGUACUUGAAUAAACAACUGUAUAGACAGUUCUACAUUUCGUUCAUAUAUUAAGUGAGUCCACUUUUGCAGUUAUAAUACUUUGUCUUUAUUGACAACAAUUGAAAUAAUCAUUUGAUCAGUUUUUUUUUACAUAAUUGCAUAAGGAGACUAUUACACAUUUGUUUCCUAAAAAGGUAUUAUCAAAUCUUUGUAUUGUUAAAGGUUAAUUUUACAAAGAAGUACCAUCAUAACAUUUGUGUACUGACUAUUAAUUGUUCAUUUCAUUGUUUGGUGUCAUCUUUUCAGUCACAAGAUAAUUAUCUUUUGUGUAAGGACUUGGAAAUUAAUUUUAUGAAGCAUUAUCCUUAAGAGUUCUGUUAAGGGUUAAUAAAAAGGUAUCAAAUUUUGUGUUUCCCAUCAUAAAGAGGUCUUUUGAUAACUGGUUAGUCUGAUAAUCAAUUUGUAGAAGUAAAUCAUACAUAUAAACUUAAGAUUUAAGCUACCUACUGUUUGAAUUACACAUUAAUUAUUGUAUAUUUGUUUCAAGCUAAGUUAUACACACGAAAAAUACAUUAAAUUGCUGCUGAAAAAAAAAAA